UGAUCAUUAAUGGAGCUAGCCAUUAAUGGGGCCUGUCGAGCCCGCGACCUGGGUUCAAAUCCCGGCCGAUCCA
rnacentral:tRNA from 1 species